GAAAUAAAUAAACAUAAAAAAAAUAGACUUAAAAAAUAAAAUAAAAAUACAAAUGUGAUAUGUUGCCUCUGGUCUUACACCCUUCCAUGGUUCCUUACCACUUUUAGGGCAAAAGCUACACUUCUUACAAGACCUGACCUGACGCAGCCAGCUCUGAACUCUGCCUCUUUUGCUCAUUGUUAAGUCUCUAGAACCGGGCUCAGGGCCUGGACCCUGGAGCUUCAUAACUGUUCCCUAUUCUGCACUCACCCACCCUGUGCCAGGAGUCUGCUUUGGGGAUGGGCAUCGAGGGCGUAGAGGGGGCAUACAACCCUGGGACUUGCCUCAGUCUAGUGUACAGAUCGUGCCUAAGGGGCCAGGACGCACAGAAGAGUCUCAGGGGACAGUCUCCCCAGCACAACACUUCUGUAACAGGUAAACAUCAGACAGAGCACAAGCAUUCAAAGUGUCAAAGCAAAAACUGCCCUGGGCCAAGUUGAACAGGCAAGUUAGCCUUCCUUCCAGGGUACUGCAAAGGGGAGAGAGCCCAGAGCCCAGAUGAAGGGACACUAGGACAGAGGACGGUGGGGCCUCUGCGUUUACUCACUGGCUUUGUCCAAAGGAAAGUAAGGUCUCCCCUGUGUUACGAUCCGAGGUAGUUGUACCGCUUGGAGUGAGCUGUCCACAGAGGCUCCUAAACUCUGCUGUCUUUUCCGAUGAUUGAAUCUUAAAGGGAAGUUCUCAGGUCCCGAGAAAGACUUUCCUGGACUGCGAAGCUGGCAAAAGGUUUUUAAGAAGACACACAUCUCAAAGGAGCAGAGACGGAAUUGAUAAUUGCAGGUUUUUCAAAGAAAAUGACUUAAGAAAAGGGAGGUCAGAGACCCAGAGUCGGGAAGUCUGCCUCAAGUUCAUCUAAACUCAGGGGAAUGUAAAGGGCUUCUGGGUCAAAAGUUUCUGGAAAUUGGCCUAAGGGAGUAGAGAAAUGGAGAAGAACCCCUUCAGGAAAAUGUGCUAAACCUCAGAACAGUGGUCGUCUGUGGCCUUUGAGACACAGUCUAAUUUGCUGCCUCCACCCAGCUCCUUGUUCCAGAAGCUCUUUCCUGGGCAUGUGCAGCCAGGAAUAUGGGGGUUCCCCCCGUCCCCAGAAACCAGUGGCUGAGCCUGGGAGGGCAGGCUGCCGGCAUUUUUUUUUUUUUUUGGUCUCUAUCCCCUCAGGUUCAUGACGCAGAAACUAUUCCAGGCAGGUGCAGCUGGGUGGACCGGGUCCUUCUUGUCCCGCCCAGCCCCCACUGGCAGAGUGGCAGCUCCAGGCUUGGAUGCCCGAGGAUGCUGAGGCCACCUUGCGUCAUCCCAGCUCGCUCGUAGUGUGAAGGCCGCAUACCAGAAAGGGCAAGACAGGAAGCGCAGGGGCUGCCCCGAUGCCCCUACCUCCGGCCACACGCACACACUGCCCACUCAUACAGCAGGGUUGUCCCUCGGGGAAAAACAUGUCCUCGUCCCCACCUCUGGUGCUCUGGGGCAGGGGAUCUUCCCAGGAGGAAAGCAGGUCAGAAGGAAAAGGGCCCUGCGGGUCCGUCUGAAGGACCGGCUUUAUCUGGAACACACAGUUGGAGCUCUCCAUGUCCAAGGAUGUUGUUGAAAAUGAUGGAGGUCUUGGGAUCCCUGCAGGAGCUGAGAGCGGUCCCUGGCUGACGACCAUCAGGAAAACAGGGACCUCGGUCCUGCGACCACAAAAAGCUGAAUUCUGCCAGUGAUCCGUGAACUUGGAAGAGGGUUAUGGGCUCCAAAGGAGAACACGGUCCGCCCAACAGCAUGAUUGCAGAGAUGCUUGUGAAGCCACGCCCACAACCCUUAUCCAUGGAAACCAUGAGAAAAGAAGCGUGUGUCAUUUUAAGUCCCUACGUUUCUGGGAUUUGUUAUAGAGCAUAGGAAACUACUACCCACCCAGAAUGAACACCGCGGGUACUCCGCCACGUGCUAUUCCACGUUCUGUCUUAUGUCCAUUUAUAGAUCAAGGAUCUGCAAAGCGGAGAGGCAACUCGCCAAAAGCCACACGGCUCAGGAGGGCCACCAAGAUGGGCGAGUGAGUGUUCUUUCUCCUCCGGUGUCGGGAUUUCCUGGUGGACGGGGCUGCCUCAGGGCUGAGUGCUUUCUGCCCCUUCUUGUAGAAACGUCACAUUAUGGCUGCUCCCGUUUUGUAGUUGGAGGAAAUAUGACCCCAGAGGCUUGGGGACUUGUUUAAGGCGACGUAGGUAGGUCUGAUAUCAUCACCCACUGGUGUUUUCCCUGCCACGGUUCUUUGGUUGGGGUUUGCGAGGCAAGACCUGAUGGAGCAG